AAAAAAAGUCUACAUAGGAUCAAAAUCAAAUCUUAAGGACCAUACUGUUCCCUGUAAGUUUCUAAGGGAAGGAAGCAGCUACUAGUCCUACCCAGCUGUGCUGCCUUUGAAAUCAAUGGCCAGCGUUCAUGAUAUCCUAAGGGUGCAGUAGCUUAGGAUAUACCUUAGCUAUAUCACAUACCUUAGCUAUAACCGACAGCUCUCUAAUUGAAUUGGUUAUGACCAUUCAUCUAAAGAUUAUGCUUGGUAGUAAAAACCUAGCCAACUACCCAGGGCUAAUGAAGUUAUGGAUUUUGGAGGAGAGCCUACAUAGAACAGUUUACUAAAAUCACCAUAAUUCCUAACGACAUUCUAAAUACUCAUCCUUACACAUAAGCAUAGGUCUCACCCCCCCCCAAAAAAAAGUCUUCCAACAGAUGUAAACCUUUACAGAAAACCACAACCAGUCCAGAUGCUGAGAACACAUGACCAUGUGGUCCCCCAGCACCAACUGGUCUAUCUACAACACAGUCCUUGCACCUAAGGCCCAGAGAUCAUGGCGGAAAUGACAGUAGUAAGAGUGUGAGAACAGCAGGAACAGGAAGUUGCAUGGGCGAUUUCGUCUAGAAAUGUCAAGAGUGUCUGCCUAAACAGGACAUGAGCAAGGACGACACCAAAAGACACACCAGCACAGAAGGGGAUAAUCUCCUGGGGCCUCAGCUCUCUAGACAAAGAGCUACAGGCAAGUAAGGAAUGCUGGGAGCAGCCUUCCCCGGGAAAGACCCCUCACCCUGCUUUGCUUAUCAAAGCCAAGUGGUCAACCCUGAAACCAUCCACAUCUCAGUAACAUCAUACAGACAGAGCAGGUUGUAUUUAUAUACUUAGGGGUAGAUAUACAUGCAUACAUGUGUGUAUAACAACAAUAAAGAAAGAAACAGGUCAUGACUUUAUUUUUCUUAAAAACAUGCUGCCUCUUCAGCGAAUUCUAUUUGGCAAAACUAGAAACAGAACUUUAGAAUUAAAUUUCUUUUUGGCCAUGAGUGUCUCUUGGACUAUAAAUCAAGCCUCCAAUUACUUGUAAACAACUAGGGUUUGUUUUUUUUCUUUCUAAAUUCUUUCUUUCUUCCAAUUCUCCACGAUUGAGAAUGAUGCAAACCACCGAAACAGCCUGGCCUAGGAAUCCAGUCCUGUCCGAGGAGUCGAAGGCUAACUAACAUUCAGCAUGUUGCCUGAGUUAAACAAGCCAGCAUGGAAAAGAAGCACUCGCGCACGCGCACACACACAGUCCAGUCCUCAUUACUGAGUUGCAUUUAUUUCCCUUGUCAAUUGUCGGACUUGAAGUGUGGCUUUUAAUUUAGUAGAAAGAUGGACAAGUGGAGCCCUGGAGAUGCUGGCAAGCAUGCAGACCUAGCUCCUCCGUGGGUCACACGGGACCUACGCUUGCUUUAAUGUUCUGCUGUUGACUAGUGCUCUUCAUAAUUUUUUUUUUACAGGAGCACAUUUUCGUUCUGUAACUGAACCCUGCAUAUUAAUUAACCAGUGCUGGGGGGAGGGGGAAGAAUAAAAGUGACACCCACAGAAUGACACCUACAAAAACCCUGAAUGUCAGAAACAGCUGAUAGCUCUAACCAGGUUAUUUCACAGCGUAACAUUAACAGCUCCCAAGUGCAGAUGUCAUCGCUCUCGUUUUACCAAAGAUGGAAGGGGUGAGGGGGGAGCGUGGAGGAUGACUCAAGCUUGCAGUCCUGGCAUUUGGAAAGUGAAGCAGGAGGAUCAGGAGGGCCAGCCUAUGUGUGUGUAUCCGGCUGCACUCCCAUGAAAUCCCCUCUUGGUGAACGAGGGAGGUGAGGGGGUGGGGCAAUAAAAAGGUCCUUGCUUGAAGAUAUGAAUCCCGCAGUGGCAGAUCCACUUUUCAGAGUUCUCCACAAGAAAAAAAAAAUGAAAUAAUUUGUCUUCAGAGAGGAAAUCAAUGCCCCCUGACCAUUUUCCAUUGUUGUUCAAACAACAAGCCCUUUGGAGAGGGAAGAGUUGAUUCUGAAAUGUCUUAGCAUGCUGUGCUGGCUAGUUCUGUGUCAACUUGACACAAGUUAGAGUCAUUUGGGUAACCUCAGAUGAGAAAAUGGACCCAUGAGGUUGGCCCGUGGGCAAUCCUGAGGCGCACUUUCUCAAUUAAUGAUUUAUACGGGAAGGCCCAGCCCAGCAAUGCUAUCCCUAGACUGACGGUCUGAUCUACGUAUUAUAAUAAAGCAAGCUGAGCAAGCCACGAAGAAUAAGCCAGCAGCAUGCUCCCCAGGGCCUCUGCAUCAGCUCCUGGCUCCAGGUUCCUGCUAUGAACUCCUGCCCUAACUUCCCUAAGUGAUGGACUUACUUGGGAAUGGAAGCUGAAAUAAAUGCAUUUCCUU
rnacentral:lncRNA from 1 species